ensembl:lncRNA
CAAAUGGUGGAGGAGCUGGGUUUGAACCCAGGUCCUGAAAUCCCUCGUCCAGAAGCAGUGAAUCAUCUCAGACGUGAGCCAAGGUUGCCAUGCAGGCGCCAAGAGCCUCGGAGAUGUAGCUGUUCAGGGGAAAAGCUUAGAUCCAUCUGUUUCAUUUUAACCAUUCUCCCUAUAUGCCUAUCUAAUCUCCAGAGGACCUCGACCAUCCAAUCUGGACCCACUGAGAGGGCGAGACUUCCUCGAGCUCAGUGUAGGAGCCACACACACACCCAGCCUUCCGGGCCCCUCCUCCUUGAGGCCCCCCUCCAACUGCAGGAGGGGCUUUCAAAGACUGAAGUUCCCCAAAUAACCCUCCUUCCCAUGUUGUUAUUCUUUAAGGGAAAUGUCUACAGAAAAUAAAAACCACUUGGCAGCGGCUGUUCUUGGAACAAAAGGCAGCGAUCUGUGCGGGAAGCUGCCCAAGGUGGUUUUCCCUGAAGGGCCAAGCCUUUGGCAUUCACGUGGUCAGUGCCCUUCACCCUCACCUUCCAUGGAAGCCCUGCUCCGGGAUGCCAGGACUUGGCCUGGAGGGACGUGCACCACUGGGAGACAGUUGGCUCCACAGCACGGCUGGUCCCUCAGAAGUGCAGGGGCUCUGCAGGCUCCUCUCUCUGCCCAUCACUUGUCAGGUCCACUUGACUGGUUGUCUCCAACCUUCCAAGCCAUCGUCCAACCAGGCCCAGCAGGUGCCUCCAGCCCUGGGACAGCUAUGCAGGCCUGGAGACUGGCCGCACCCCCUGGCCUGCUCUGCCCGUCCGCUGGGCAGCCGGCCUUCCUUUUCAUCGGAGCUGCUGGAGGCCUACAGGCAGCUUACAGGAAACGGUGCCUGGAGAAACAAGAGGCCUUUGAAGCACAAGCACUGUACACCACGUCAUCUCCCCGCCUCCUCGCUGGACUCGGAGCUUCUCACUUGCUGGCCGUGGGCCGGGUGGGUCUACAGGGAUAAAGAAUGUGCACGCCAGACGUGAUGUUCGUUUUCUGAUAAUCAAUGGAUUUUAUGCAUCUGCCAAGAGUUGUGAACGGGCGAUAUGAUAUAUAGAUAGUCGGCAACUAAAUUUCAUCUCGCUCAUCAGUGCUGAUGGACAGGAAGUGGAUGCAGGAGAACUGGAUUCAGAGGACGUGAAAAUUAACCUGGUUUUGCCGUGUUCCUGGGCACCUGCCUCCAUGCACACCUGAGUUCAGGAGCCAUGUCCCUCCACUAGAGGGCGGGCAUCGUAGACGCCUGCUACGCCACCUGGGCUGUCGCGUGUGUUCCGGCCUCAGCCCUGGAGAAGGAGGCAGAACAUUCUGGUAGCAGAGUAACCCAAAAGGCAAUGUCUGCCUCAAGCUGAGGACGUUUGCAGCUGACUCUCCAAGGUCCUCACGCACAGCUGACGUGCGCGCGUGGCAGACACGGGCCGUGUGACUGCAGGCAGCACCGCACCCGCCUGACUCGGCGGGUUUCAAACUGAGCCUGACCUGCACCGCGGAAGGACCACCCACUUGUCCCACUCCAGGGGCACUGAGAUCAGACGGGUGACGGGCUUCAUCCGAGACCCCAACCAUUCCUGAGCUGUGUUCCUGGAAUGCCUCCUGGAGCCUGUGACCCAUCCCAACGCACAGCCACUUUCAAACCCCUGCUGAUCGGAGUCACCAAGAAUCAGCUUUGGUGAGUUUGUGUCUCUCAGGCAGCUUAUCCACUUUUCCAAGUCGCCUGUAAGAUCUGUAGUGGUG